rnacentral:rRNA from 1 species
ACCCGAAUGGGGAAACCCAGUGUGACUCGUCACACUAUCAUUAACUGAAUCCAUAGGUUAAUGAGGCGAACCGGGGGAACUGAAACAUCUAAGUACCCCGAGGAAAAGAAAUCAACCGAGAUUCCCCCAGUAGCGGCGAGCGAACGGGGAGGAGCCCAGAGCCUGAAUCAGCAUGUGUGUUAGUGGAAGCGUCUGGAAAGGCGCGCGAUACAGGGUGACAGCCCCGUACACAAAAGCGCAUGUGCUGUGAGCUCGAUGAGUAGGGCGGGACACGUGGUAUCCUGUCUGAAUAUGGGGGGACCAUCCUCCAAGGCUAAAUACUCCUGACUGACCGAUAGUGAACCAGUACCGUGAGGGAAAGGCGAAAAGAACCCCGGCGAGGGGAGUGAAAAAGAACCUGAAACCGUGUACGUACAAGCAGUGGGAGCACCCUUUGGGGUGUGACUGCGUACCUUUUGUAUAAUGGGUCAGCGACUUAUAUUCUGUAGCAAGGUUAACCGUAUAGGGGAGCCGGAGGGAAACCGAGUCUUAACCGGGCGUUAAGUUGCAGGGUAUAGACCCGAAACCCGGUGAUCUAGCCAUGGGCAGGUUGAAGGUUGGGUAACACUAACUGGAGGACCGAACCGACUAAUGUUGAAAAAUUAGCGGAUGACCUGUGGCUGGGGGUGAAAGGCCAAUCAAACCGGGAGAUAGCUGGUUCUCCCCGAAAGCUAUUUAGGUAGCGCCUCGUGAAUUCAUCUCCGGGGGUAGAGCACUGUUUCGGCUAGGGGGCCAUCCCGGCUUACCAACCCGAUGCAAACUGCGAAUACCGGAGAAUGUUAUCACGGGAGACACACGGCGGGUGCUAACGUCCGUCGUGAAGAGGGAAACAACCCAGACCGCCAGCUAAGGUCCCAAAGUCAUGGUUAAGUGGGAAACGAUGUGGGAAGGCCCAGACAGCCAGGAUGUUGGCUUAGAAGCAGCCAUCAUUUAAAGAAAGCGUAAUAGCUCACUGGUCGAGUCGGCCUGCGCGGAAGAUGUAACGGGGCUAAACCAUG